CCUCCUCGAUCUGCUGCGGGCAGAUGUAGUGGAUGUGCGAGUCGAUGCCGCCGGCCGUGACGAUGUUGCCUUCGCCCGCGAUGAUCUCGGUGCCCGGGCCGAUCACGAUGUCCACACCCGGCUGCACGUCGGGGUUGCCCGCCUUGCCGAUGCCGGUGAUCAGGCCGUUCUUCAGGCCGAUGUCGGCCUUCACGAUGCCCCAGUGGUCGAUGAUCAGCGCGUUCGUGAUCACGGUGUCGGCCACCUCGGCCGCGAGCCGCUGGCUCUGGCCCAUGCCGUCCCGGAUG
rfam:Rhizobacter gummiphilus strain NS21, complete genome.